GGAUUGCAAAAUUACAGGAGAUGAUAGAGAGAAAAAAAUAUGGUAAUCUUCAAAUUGAAGAAAUAUAUACUUUUAAUGUUUCUAGAAGUAUAUUUAUCCUUUUUUAUAAUAUUAUUAUUUUCUUGAUUGGUAAGUUUAAUGAGAAUGGAAAGUUCAUCUUUAGUAGUUUUUCAUCAAUUUUUGCAGACUAUUUAAAUUAAUAUUUUUUAUUUUAUAGAAAUAAUGAUUAUUUCGAUAAUGUCUAUCCACCACAUCGCGCAUGCAACUACACUAGUUUAACAUUACAAAAGAUAAAAUGGAGGAAUCCAAAUUAUAUUGGACCUUAGGGUACACUUUAUUCGGGCAAAAAUUAUAUGGGCAUGGUCUCCAAACUAUCAGUUUGGGGACGGUGCCGAUAGG
rnacentral:lncRNA from 1 species